GAUGAACGCUGGCGGCGUGCCUAAUACAUGCAAGUCGAACGAACAGACGAUGAGCUUGCUCCUCUGACGUUAGCGGCGGACGUGUGAGUAACACGUGGAUAACCUACCUAUAAUACGGGUAUAACUUCGGGAAACCGGAGCUAAUACCGGAUAAUAUAUUGAACCGCGGGGUUCGAUGGUGAGAGACGGUUUUGCUGUCAGUUAUAGCUGGAUCCGGGCGGCAUUAGAUAGUAGUUCAGGUAACGGCCUACCAAGGCAACGAUGCGUAGACGACGUGAGGGGCGGAUAGGCGACAUUGGAACGUGGACACGGUCAAGACUACUAAGGGAGGCAGCAGAAGGGAAUCUGACGCAGUAGGCGAAAGCAUGACGGAGUAAGGCCGAGUCAGAGGUGAAGGCCCUCGGAUCGUAAUACUCUGUUACGAGGGAAGAACAAAUGUGUAAGUAACUAUGGACGUCUUGACGGUAACUAAUAAGAAAGCAACGGCUAACUACGUG
rnacentral:rRNA from 1 species